UACGUAGGCAGCAAGCGUUGUUCGGAGUUACUGGGCGUAAAGAGUGCGUAGGUGGUGCCCUAAGUCUGUUGUGAAAUCUCCCGGCUUAACUGGGAGGGUGCGGUGGAAACUGGGGUGCUUGAGUGUGGGAGAGGUAAGCGGAAUUCCUGGUGUAGCGGUGAAAUGCGUAGAUAUCCGGAGGAACACCGGUGGCGAAGGCGGCUUCCUGGACCGACACUGACGCUGAGGCGCGAAAGCUAGGGGAGCAAACGGG
rnacentral:rRNA from 1 species